CUCAAAGUUGGAACCUGGCUGUCUUAGAUAGUCCGGAUUGUAAACUAAAGAGCGUGAAUCCAGGCAAGCCGGUUGAUCAAGUCCUUUGGAAUGAGGCGCCACUGAGGGUGAGAGCCCCGUAAAUCGACUGAGCAUUUGUCUUUUGUGUUUCGCGUUCAAAGAGUCAGGUUGUUUGGGAAUGCAGCCUAAAGCUGGUGGUAAAUCCCACCUAAAGCUAAAUACAGGCGAGAGACCGAUAGCGAACAAGUACCGUGAGGGAAAGAUGAAAAGUACUUUGAAAAGAGAGUUAAACAGUAUGUGAAAUUGCCAAGAGGGAAGCAUUUGGAGUUAGACUGACUUGAAGUUAAUCAGCUUGGUCUUUGGACUGGGUGUACUUGACUUCUAUGUCUGCCAAUAGCAGUUAGUCCUGGUGGAAAAAACUGAAGGGAAGGUAGUCCUUCGGGAUGUUUAUAGACCUUUGGAAAAUACACUGGGAUUGACUGAGGAAUGCAGUAGAUGCUAUUAAGGCUUCGUCUAGUAGGUGUUAGGUGAAGGUACUUGGUAUUUUCAGCUUGCUGAUGUGCUAGGUUACUUGAGCUUAAUUGCUUGCUAGAACUGUAAUCUACUUUGGUUAUUGGCUUAAUGACUCUAAAUGGC
rnacentral:rRNA from 1 species